rnacentral:tRNA from 1 species
GCCUGGGUGGCUUAGUCGGUUAAGCAUCUGACUUUGGCUCAGGUCACGAUCUUGUGUUUCAUGAGUUCAAGCCCCACAUCGGGCU